GAUGAACGCUGGCGGCGUGCCUAACACAUGCAAGUCGAACGAGAAGCUAACUUCUGAUUCCUUCGGGGAGAUGAAGUUGGUAGAAAGUGGCGAACGGGUGAGUAACGCGUGGGUAAUCUACCCUGUUAGUGGGGGAUAACCCUCCGAAAGGAGGGCUAAUACCGCAUAAGGUCUUCACUUCUUAAGAAGUAAAGAUUAAAAAUGGCCUCUAUACUAUGCUAUCGCUUCAGGAUGAGCCCGCGUCCUAUUAGUUAGUUGGUGGGGUAAUGGCCUACCAAGACCACAAUGGGUAGCCGGUCUGAGAGGAUGUACGGCCACACUGGGACUGAGAUACGGCCCAGACUCCUACGGGAGGCAGCAGUGGGGAAUAUUGCGCAAUGGGGGAAACCCUGACGCAGCGACGCCGCGUGGAUGAUGAAGGCCUUUGGGUUGUAAAAUCCUGUUUUGGGGGAAGAAACCUUAAGGGUCCAAUAAACCCUUAAGC
rnacentral:rRNA from 1 species